CUGGUGCACCGCUACCUGGU
rnacentral:misc_RNA from 1 species